UCCUCGGUAGUAUAAUGGCAAGUAUUCCCGCCUGUCACGCGGGCGAUCCGGGUUCGAUUCCCGGCCGGGGAG
rfam:Soboliphyme baturini genome assembly, scaffold: SBAD_scaffold0006458